rnacentral:rRNA from 1 species
UCCUCAUGGCCCUUAUAGGUGGGGCUACACACGUCAUACAAUGGCUGGUACAGAGGGUUGCCAACCCGCGAGGGUAGCUAAUCCCAUAAAGCCAGUCGUAGUCCGGAUCGCAGUCUGCAACUCGACUGCGUGAAGUCGGAAUCGCUAGUAAUCGCGGAUCAGAAUGUCGCGGUGAAUACGUUCCCGGGUCUUGUACACACCGCCCGUCACACCAUGGGAGCGGGUUCUGCCAGAAGUAGGUAGCCUAACCGUAAGGAGGGCGCUUACCACGGCAGGGUUCGUGACUGGGGUGAAGUCGUAACAAGGUAGCCGUAUCGGAA